GGAAUAACACGGGGAAACUUGUGCUAAUACCGAAUAAGCCUUUACAGGGAAAGUUUUAACGCCGAAAGAUGAGCCUGCACUUGAUUAGCUAGUUGGUAAGGUAAAAGCUUACCAAGGCAACGAUCAAUAGCUGUUCUUAGAGGAAGACCAGCCACAUUGGGACUGAGACACGGCCCAGACUCCUACGGGAGGCAGCAGUGGGGAAUCUUGCACAAUGGGGGAAACCCUGAUGCAACGAUGCCGCGUGAGUGAAGAAGGCCCUUGGGUUGUAAAACUCUUUCGUCGGGG
rnacentral:rRNA from 1 species